GACGAACGCUGGCGGCGUGCUUAACACAUGCAAGUCGAACGGAAAGGCCCUGCUUUUGUGGGGUGCUCGAGUGGCGAACGGGUGAGUAACACGUGAGUAACCUGCCCUUGACUUUGGGAUAACUUCAGGAAACUGGGGCUAAUACCGGAUAGGAGCUCCUGCUGCAUGGUGGGGGUUGGAAAGUUUCGGCGGUUGGGGAUGGACUCGCGGCUUAUCAGCUUGUUGGUGGGGUAGUGGCUUACCAAGGCUUUGACGGGUAGCCGGCCUGAGAGGGUGACCGGGGAAAUUGGGCGUGAGAUGCGGGCAUGGGCCGGAGGGGCGGGAGGGGGGGGGGACGGUGGACAAUGGGGGGAAGGGUGAUGCAGCCACGCCGGGUGGGGGAGGAGGGCGUGUGGGUUGAAGGGGGAGAGAGACGGGGGAGAAGUGUGAGGGAGGGUAAGGGGAAAAGAAGGAGCGGCGAACUACGUG
rnacentral:rRNA from 1 species